AUUGAACGCUGGCGGCAUGCCUAACACAUGCAAGUCGAGCGGAUGAAGGGGGCUUUCUCCCUGAUUCCGCGUCGGACGGGUGUGUAAUGCCUAGGAGUCUACCUCCUAGUGGGGGAUAACGUCCGGAAACGGCCGCUAAUAUCGCACACGCCCUGUACGAGAAAAUGGGGGAUCUUCGGACCUCACGCUCUCAGAUGAUCCUAGGUCGGAUUAGCUAGUUGGUGGGGUAAAGGCCUACCAAGGCGACGAUCCGUAACUGGUCUGAGAGGAUGAUCAGUCACACUGGAACUGAGACACGGUCCAGACUCCUACGGGAGGCAGCAGUGGGGAAUUUUGGACAAUGGGCGAAAGCCUGAUCCAGCAAUGCCGCGUGUGUGAAGAAGGUCUUCGGAUUGUAAAGCACUUUAAGUUGGGAGGAAGGGCAGUAAGUUAAUACCUUGCUGUUUUGACGUUACCAACAGAAUAAGCACCGGCUAACUUCGUG
rnacentral:rRNA from 1 species